AAAAACCAUGCAACAGGAUUUUGUCUCCUGGUUUAUCAGUAAGAGCUAAAAAGAAUUCUAUCCUGUUUCUGCAAGGUCAACAUCAGCCUUGUAUUGAAUCUUCUUGAAAUGGAACUAUUAAAUUUACACUUAUAAAAAUGUGCUUAAUGUACAAAGCCAGUUUAAAGGAUUAGGUUCAUAAUGUCUAUAAAAAUCAAUAGUGUCUUAGAAUUCAGAUUUUGAAAUUAGCAUUUUGCUGGGAUUUACAAGUAUUGGUAUAAUCUUUAUAUGUGAAAACUCAAAAGCUCUCCACAGAAUCUUUAUACGGAUGCAGUAGUUAUUAGUGCACAAGUUUUUCAUUUCCAUGGGUUAUUUUUUUUUAAAGCUCUGUGAAAGCUGGCUACAGAUUUUCAAGAACCAAAUCUUAGGAAAAAAAGGCAAAUCCAAAACAACAACAUCAUCUGAUGCUUCUAUUUUACUACUAUUUUUUUCAUAUUUGAAACAUUUAUGUAAUUUAAUGGACAUAUCUGUUAGAAGGAAAGUGUCUUUCAAAGGAAAACUAGUUUAGAAGAUAAUUUAUGUAAAUAUAGGGUGCUCGUAUUUAUGAAGUCUAAAAUAUUUUCUGAAAUUGAUGCUGGUCACUUUGUCUUUUGAUAGUUUUUCAGUCUAUAUUAAAUUGCAGAUAUUUUUAAUGUUUUUAUUAUUGAUCUAAUUUUCAGAGGUGUCACAUGUUUAUCUAGAAGUGUAGAAGAGUAGCACCUUUUUCAGAAAUGCACUUGCCUUAUUUUCUAAUUUUAAAAAAAAUGAAAUAUAUCAGUUAAAUUAUAUUUGUAUUCAAAGUAAUCCCAGAAAGAAAAUCACUGGAGGGUUCAUACAUAAAUUUCUUGCUAAUUAUGUUUCACUCUUUGUCCUCUGAGACAUGACGUUAACAAUAUACCAGCACAUCUGUUUGCAUUCACAUUGCAGUUACAAGUACUGAGAAAGGGGUUUUUUUUAAUGAUGUUACACUGUUUACAUUUCUUAGUUUAUUUAAGAGGAAGAUAAUUUUACCUUUGCAAUGAAUCGAACUCAACCUCCGAAUGUCAUGGGAAUGAAGUGUUUCAAUCAUGUACAAUAUACAUAUCUGGAAUGUUUCAGUGUGGUGUACAAAUUACAUAUCUGAAGUGUUUCAGUGGUGUACAAAUACACAUAUCUGGAAUGUUUCAGUGGUGUACAAAUUACAUAUCUGAAAUGUUUCAGUAUGUACAAAUUACAUAUCUGGAAUGUUUCAGUGGUGUACAAAUCUCCAGCUCCUGGUGUGCAGGUCACCAAUGGAAAGGCACUGGUUCUGCUCCAGUUUUAUGCAGUUUUCUGGGAGAACAGCCUGCCCUGUCAUGUAUGUUUGUCUGAUUCAGAGGGAUCCUUUCCCAGCACACCCGUGAUGUUUGUGUUAAUCUGAUUUUUUGGCUAAAACCAAGCCAGGAGCACUGGCUGAAAGCUCCAGGGAGCGUUCCCAGGAAUAUUGUCACUUGUUCUGGUUUCAGCUGACUGUGGUCCACGUGAGCAGUAUGAUCUAAAAUGAUUUCUUCUUGAGAAUUGAGAUACAAGAGCGUUCCCAUAGUUCCCUUCUGUAAUAUGCAAAUAAUCAUGAAUAUCUGUAUAUUUUUGCAUUUUUGUGUGUGGUAUAUGUACUACCUCAGACAAAUGCUGUAAAAAAAACCAUAAUAUUUUCAUGGUUUCUAUCCAAGCCACAAUUCAUUAGUAACCUACUUUAAAUUCAUCCCACAACACCCCAAACUCUGAGAAUCUGGCCGAGUUUUAGGUUUGGCUCUGGAAAUCCUCCUAUAGCUUUUGUUAAGGAAACUUUGCAGCGUUCAGCUUUCACAUCCCUUGGGCAAACCCUGCUUUGAUGGGUGACUCCAGCCCUUCCUGCCCUGAGAAUGAUCUAGUUGGUGAAUAUUUCAAACAGGUAAUAAUAGUUCUGUGGGAGCAAACUUCCCUGUGUGUGUAAAUUGCUUUUUUCCAUUCAGCAAAGGCUUGGCCAAGUUCUACUUUGCUGUUUGCCUUCCAAGUGCUGCAAGGUCGGGCAGGACAAGUGCUGAGCAGUGUCCAGCCCACCUCUGAUGUGCCAUACUGUAUUUGCAAGUUUUAAACUCAUUUUUAAAUAAGUAUCGUGAGAAAACUCUUCUUCUGCGGUGUCUCCGCACACGCCCGCGCAUGCACGCGAAAUGUAAAUAAA
rnacentral:lncRNA from 1 species